rnacentral:rRNA from 1 species
AGUGAACGCUGGCGGUAUGCUUUACACAUGCAAGUCGAACGGCAGCGCGGUCUUCGGUCUGUCUUCGGGUUGCGAACGGGUGAGUAAGGUAUCGGAACGUGCGCAUUUGCGUGGUAUAACUACGCGAAAGCGGAGCUAAUACCCCAUACGCCCUACCGGGGUAAGCAGGGGAUCGUAGGACCUUGGACUAUUGGAGCAGCCGAUAUCGGAUUAGCUAGUUGGUGAGGUAACGGCUCACCAAGGCGACGAUCCGUAGCUGGUUUGAGAGGACGACCAGCCACACUGGAACUGAGACACGGCCCAGACUCCUACGGGAGGCAGCAGUGGGGAAUAUUGGACAAUGGGGGCAACCCUGAUCCAGCCAUACCGCGUGUGUGAUGAAGGCCUUCGGGUUGUAAAGCACUUUUGGCAGGAAAGAAACGUAGCGGGCUAAUACCCCGUGGAACUGACGGUACCUGAAGAAUAAGCACCGGCUAACUACGUG